GAAAUCCAUGGCUGAUUACAACAAUAACCUCUCUUCAUGUUGGACUUCUGUGUCAUCUUCUUUCAAGUUCUUGCUAGUUGUUGCAACUUUGAUUCUAGUAUUUGGGUUUCUUUUAAUUUUGGAUCUAAAGACCUCUCGAGUUUCAUUAUCUUACAAUCCUUGGGUUGGAGAGCUGGUUCUUCUUCUUUCUCUUCUCCCGCUGCUAAGACCACCACCACCACCAAUUCAUCUCUUGAGGUUGAAGAAGAAACUGAAAGGCACCUGCAUUUUCAUCCAAGGGUGGUUGAAGCU